AUUUCUCUCCCCUGCUUUACCACCAAGCCCUACACCUGCCGCCGUGCCGUUCCCCAGCGGCGUCACCGCCGGCGCCUCAAUCCCAUCCCCUAUGCCCCCCGCCCCCACCCACCACGGUCUCUCACGCGCGCGGCCGCCAUCGCCGUUCCCGUUCUUCCUCGUCGGGACAUCGCGUUCCUGCCGUCUCCACCCCGUCCGCAGUUGAGUUUUGAGGCGCGCACCCGGCAGAACUUCUAGAUUCGCCCCCGCGGCGGCGCCCGACAUGUCGACGCCCUCCGGCUCCGGGGGAGCCGACGGAACCGCCCCCGCUGCCUCUACGUAUUACAACGUCUUUGGUCCCGACGCUAAACCUGAUGUUAUUUUUAAGGAGGUCACUUCAGAUUCCACAUUGAAUUUGCAGGAUGUCCAGGGGCUAGUAACUUGGGUUAUUGGUGAAGGCAUGCCGCCUUCAUGGGUGUUUGUUAAAAACAAGCCUCUUAUCCCGAAAGUUAUCCUUCUCUAUGUUCCUGGCCUCGAUGCAGCUUUAUACAUGUCUCAGUCCCGCCUCCUUUCUUCUUUGAAAGGAUUGUGUGGCAAUCCAAAACCUGUUCUAGCUUCAAGCUGUAUACCAGAUGAAAGGCAUACCAUUGAUGCACUCCUGACAUGCAGAGUAAAGCGAAAGCGGCAGUCACAAACAUCAAACCAAUCAUAUGAAUCCGAUGGAGGUAAAUUAUCGAGUCUGGCGGACCUAAAAGAUAUACCAUUUCCUGUUAAAUAUUACACACUUUCUAAAAAGGACUUGGAAGAUAAUGGCUACACACUCGAUUUACCAGGUUUUGUCCCUACGGUUGCAGCUCCUAGAGGCUCUUCCCCAUACGAAAUUCUCGCACUUGAUUGUGAGAUGUGUGUGACAGCAGCUGGAUUUGAGCUUACAAGAGUGACAUUAGUCGAUAUUAAAGGAGAGGUGAUACUGGAUAAACUAGUCAAGCCUACUAAUCCAAUAACUGAUUACAAUACAAGGUUUAGUGGAAUCACUGCUGAGAUGCUAUCCGAUGUGACAACAACCCUCCAGGAGAUUCAGGAAGAGUUUGUUGGACUUGUGUAUAAAGAAACCAUUCUUGUUGGGCAUUCUUUGGAAAAUGACCUUUUGGCAUUACGGAUAUCUCAUGACUUGGUCAUCGAUACUGCUGUUUUGUACAAAUAUAAUCGUGGCCCACGCUGUAAAAUUGCUUUACGUGUCCUUGCAAACAAAUAUCUUAGCCGGGUGAUCCAGAACACAGGGUCUGGGCAUGACAGCGUGGAAGAUGCAAGAGCUGCUCUGGAUCUUGCCUUUUUGAAAAUCAAAUACGGUCCUGAUUUUGGCUCUCCACCAUCGUUUUCACGAAGAAAGUUGUCUUCCAUUCUGCAUGAAUGUGGGAAAAGGAGUUCCCUCAUUGAUGAAGUGUUUGUUCUUGACCGCUAUUCAGAUGCUUCCUGCAAUUCAAUUGCAGUUUUCUCAGAUGAUGAUGCCCUCUCCAGAUCAAUGAAAGAGGUAAAGAAUGACAAAAUCAGCUUUGUCUGGACUCAGUUUUCAGGAUUGAUCUCUUAUCUACGUAAAAGAGCUGAAGAUCCUGAAAAAUUGAAAUCCUGUGUUGCAGAGGCUAUUGCAUUGAAAACCUGUGAUAGAAAAACUGCCCGGAAAAGAGCAAAGCAAAUUUGUCCAGAGCUGAAGGCAAUUUUGAGUGAAUUGGACAAGAAAAUAAAAAAACUAUAUGAUACACUGCCUGAAAAUGCAAUGUUUAUUAUAUGUACUGGUCACGGGGAUACUCCUUUGGUCCAAAGAUUAAAGAAAAUGCUCAACAACGGAGAAGAAACAGUCGAUAGCCGGGAAAAUAUUGUCCAUGCAUUGGAAGAUUUACAGGCUCAAGCAGAAGUUGCUCUAUGCUUCUGCUGUGUCAAGCAUUAGCUGUAAGCAACUUGUCCUUUUCCCCACAUGUUCCGGAGAUGGAACUCGAUGCACCAGUAUGAGCUUGCACUGUUAACAACCAUUUUUGAAGAUGGAUGUAACUCACAAACACCCCUUCAGUAGUUGCAGCCUUGCUGGAAGGAUGGAUUCAGGUGUGCAUCCUGACUGUCACUAUCACUUUUGAAGAUUGAUGAUGUACCUGCAAACGGCUUCGUUAAUUUUAGGAAGGAUGGAGUCGUGCAUGGACUGGAUCGGUGGAUCCUAACCGACUGACAUGAAAACUUGAGGCUAUUACACGGAUUCAGCUUUGAAACACGGCUUUGAAGUCCGAGGCGUGCCUUAUGAUUUUUUGGUGGGCUGGGACGAUAGGUUGUACUGUAGAUCAUUUGCAUCACUUUUCGGAUUUCAGGAUUACUAAUUUGGUAGGCUGGGAUGGUAAUUUCCAGUAAUUGUUUGUAUUUUGCACCUGAGUAAAUUCUGAAAU
rnacentral:rRNA from 1 species